GUGACAGAGCUGGGCAGGGCCUGUCUGGAAAGCUUCUCUGUUCCAGCUUGGGAAAGGGCGGGAUUGCAGUGGUCUGCUGCUCCACCCUUUCCUGUCCUUCCGGUCCAGAACACUGGUGCCGAGGAGGUUCCUGUGACAGAGCAGGAGGGCCUGUUAAGGCUGCAGGGCACUGACAUUACCGACUGCAAGGACACACCCUGCCCGCUGCAGCCUCGGCCUCCAGUGUACCCUGCGUGGGCUACCAUUGGUGCCUCCACUCUGCAGCUGAGGGAGCUGGGAACUGGACAGAGGUCCCUUUGUCACAUCACACAACUCACAGCAGCAGGACAAAGACUUAGUGAUAAGAUUUAAUAAGCUUCAGACAGCCUGGUGCCGACACCCCACUCUUAACCACCGAGCCACGCUGCCUGCCUGGACAGUGGUGUUUCAAGGGAGCCGCGACUUGUCCGGACUGCCUGCAUUUGUCUUAGCAUGAACAGCUGUAAAGGCCUCCACGAUACAGGGUCCUAAAACCCAGCAAGGCUCUGGGAGCUCGACGGAGGAACGAGAGUCACCCAGGAAGGAACACACCAGGCUAGAUGCAAUCAGACCACUGCCCCAACCUGACAUCGCAGGAAGACGUAAUGUGCCUGUUGGAGCCCUUUGGGGACGGCUCUGGUGACCAUCUGGAGAAGCGGAUCUUUCACUUGGGCCCGAUCGGCCCGCAAACUUACCUGCAGGUGGCUGCAGCGAUUGUGGCCUGGGACAAGGUCUGCAGCACCAUGGUGACAGGCAUCUAGCUCUACCCCAGAUGUCCUCUUCGAUGGGAAGAGCAGGCAGGACAGCAUGGCAAUGCAGCCACAUGAUUUGUUACCUCGUGGGCUCCAGGUGAAGUCCGCAGGGGAAAGGAGAGCACCACGUGGGAUCCAGGAGCUCUGAAGUGCACGGCUUCUAAUAACUCACAUGUGUCCCCCACAGCACAGAAACAUUUCCCAGACCUCUGCUGGUCUCCCAAGGUGGACCCACUUAGACCACCACCCUCCUGUCAUUCCCAGAGCCGGCGUGAUGAUUAAUUCUGUCUGUGGACCUGGCUGGGCCGUGGUGCCCAGGUGUUUGGUGAUGCCUUCUCCCGGAUGCUCCUGAGAAGGUGGUUUUUGGAUUGAAAUUGGUGGCUUAACCCUAAAAGCAGAACCUCUACAGCAGGAGCGGGACCCAGCCAGGCCGUCGAGUCCAUCCCCGCUCCGUCCCAUCCUGCCGGUUCUUGUCCUCUGGAGAGCCUUGAUGGAUUCAGGUUUGCAUGGCCAGCCUUGUCAGACAGCAAGAGACCUGGCGGUGCAGUGCAGGGGCAGAUGAGGGAGGAUCUGAUGCUGCACUUCUGGGCUGGGAACCGGAGCAGAGGACCCAAUGGGCUGAGGCAGACGGCGCCUUCUGUGGUCACAUUAGCUGCCUCCAGCUGCCUGCUCCUCUGACCUGGCAGACACCUCCGGCGCCUGGGCUGCAUCCUGCUGCCUCUGCCUGAGAUGGGAGAGGAUGGGUAUGGGGAAGCCAGGCCCCGAAGCAGCGAGGAAAUGACCCUUAUGUCCUUGGUCCUCAGUUCUCAGUGCCCUUGAUGAGAAGAUCCAAUCAAGACACAGAGGUGGCCAUGUGGAAGUCUAGGCAGAAGGUGUUGUGGAGGGAUGGAGAAAGUUGCACCUUCAAGCGAGGAGGUGGGCAGGGCCUUGAAGGUGUCUGCCCUGAGUGCUUGAUGCCUUUUGAGAGCUAUUCUUGGGGUCAGGGGAGUUGGGAGAGUUGUGGUUCUUAUCACCAUCUUACUAGGAAGUUACUUAGGAACUGCAGAAUGCCUUUCUGUCCCUUUUAGAUGGUCAGUGUUUCCUCGAGGGCCUUCAUCAUGUAAGAAACACACAAAAGAUAAGUUCUUCAUUUAAACCAGGCCCCAGUCCAGGCCAGAGGGUCUUUACAGAACAUUUCCUCUCCUGACAUCAAGACCUGCAUGAUGGGUGACUUCCAGAUGUCCUGCUCUGUGGGGUCGCUCUAGGCCUGAGAACCAACAAGUGAUCACAAAUGUGUCAUACACUGGCAUCUUUGUUUCUGUACCUAACUGGCCCUGUCCUUUCCCCUGUGGGGAGCCCAGUCCUCUGCCCUGCAGAGGUCUUUGUGCCCCUUGGGACACAGUUCUGAAGAGAAGGGAUUUCGGUGCCACUGUCAGAGCCCAGGUCUGGCCACACAGUGUGAUGAUUUAGCCCACGGCAGCAGGUGCCACCACUCCCUGCAGUCAGCUUUUGGUGCUCUCGGCCACUUUGCCUUCUGGUUAGAAGGAUGUAACUGAGAGGUUAACGCAGACCUUUAAACGUUUGGAUUUUUUAUUUUUAAAGAUAAGCUUGUUCUCCAUCCUCCUUAUGCUGAGGGCAGACACUGCCUCCCCAGCCCUGGCACCUAGGCACAUUCCACACAACCCGACUUGCAGUAUUUUUCCUGGGCCCGGCCUGGGCCAAAGCCAGUCUGAAUCUGCACCUGCGUGUUUCCCAGGCUUUCUUAUACCCCUUCUGUGAGUUGGAAUUCUCCUACCUGCUCCAGGUGGGGCACACGAGCUGCCUUCUACUUUGGCCAAGCUGGGAGGAAACUCACUUUUCUGAUUCGAUGGGCUUUUCUCCUAUUCUUGAUGGCAGGUGAGCAAAGGAACCCAGAGAGUCAGGGCCCAGGUUCAGGCCUCGCGUGGGCGCGAACAAUCUUCGGCUUCCAACUUUCACUCCCUCAUUUUGCCUUUUUGAAAAAGAUCUUUGUGUCUUGUACUGAUCACUUAAAGUCAUGCAGAGAGUGUAAUUAGUCCUUAUUCCUGGAUUCUUUUCCCUCUGCACUAUGGAUGGCCCCUUCCUCCUCUGGUCAGCACUGCUGCUAUGUAUGGGCUCAGGCUGCAGAGCAAAUGGCCAAGCCAUUGCCCUAGACCCAGAGAAUGUGGCAAAACUAGGCUUCAGGAAUGGGUGUUGGAGUGUAGGGAGACUAGGGAUUCACUUUUGGACAACUUUGAGAUGCCAGUUGGACACCCAAAUGCGAAAGUAGGGUGAGCAGUUUGAUGUAGGAACCUGGAGUUCAGGGGCGAGAGAAAGCCAGGCUGAAGAUACCAUCAUGAAAGUCAGCAGGACGAGGGCUCCAAAGAUGCGUGAGAUUUAAGGACCUGAGACCUGAGGGUUCGGUUCUGGGGCACCAUGGUGUCCAGAAGGAGGGAAGAUGAAGAAGAGCCAGAAAAAAGAGUGAGCAGGGAGACAGGAGAGCAAGAAAGAGUGGAGUUUUAGCAGCAGAGUGGAAAGAGUUUCGAGAACACAUGAGCCAUCAGCUAUGACAAAUGCUGCCGCCAAAGUCUAGACGGGUGAAGGACAACUGACUGAUGGACCUGGCCAUGGAAGGUCUCCGGUGACCUUGACAAGGGCGAUUCUGGUGGGAGAGAGACGGAUGGAGGGGGUUGUGUAAGGAGUGGGCGCGGUGUGGUGCUCACAGCGCGUCUGGAGACGUCUUCCCAGCUCUUCAGGACGGAGAGAAGCGGGAGGGGAGGAGACCACAGCCGGUGAAGGUGAGCGGUCGCCUGAUGCUGGCGAUGCUGAGCGGGGCAGCCCGUCCCACAGGCAGGAGCAGCGCAGUUCAUGUAACCAAUCCCGUGGUGGAGGACGCCCCACACCUCGAUGCACACGUUGAUGAGCGACGUUUCAAGGAGCAUGGUUAGGCGCGAACCCAACUUGGAAAGUAAUUGCUUCUGUCCCAGUGAAUGGUGACAGGCCUGUCCUGCUUGGUAUCGGGUGACUUUGAUGGGUGAGCAGAUGUCGUCUGAACCCUUGGGGGAUGGAAAUUCCUACAAAGGUGAGUGAGUGUGUGUGUGUGUGUGUGUGUGUGUGUGUGUGUGUGUGUGUGUGAGUGUGCGCUCUGGACAGAAGAGGUGUUAGCUACCACACCAAUCAUGGUUCACACCUCUGCUCAUUUCUUAGGGUAAUUUCAAGUAAUAGGAAUAUUUAUAAGGCUCUCACCAAU